ACUUUGAUAGCUUAAAAUAGAGCAUAGCACUGAAGAUGCUAAGGUGGCACCAUUACUUCUUACCUAGAAGCA
rnacentral:tRNA from 1 species